GGUAUCCCUGACCGUGCUAAGGUAGCAUAAUCACUUGCCUUUUAAUUGAAGGCUAGAAUAAAUGGACUAACGAGACUCUAGCUAUCUUCUUUAAAAAUUAAUAAACUACACCCCACGUGAAGAUUCUUGGAUAAACUUGAAAGACAAGAAGACCCUAUAGAGUUUAAAUUUCACCCUCCACAAUAUUACCUGCUAUUUUGGUUGGGGCGACCAAGGACUUACUAUAAACAUCCUACUAAUUCUAAGAAUACUCGAUAAAACAAUCCUUAAAAAGGAACUGUAAUUAACUACCUUAGGGAUAACAGGCUUAUCUUCCUAAAGAGCCCAAAUCGAAAGGAAGGUUUGGCACCUCGAUGUUGGCUUAGAGAACCCAAAUAAAGCAAAAAUUAUUAUGGUUAGUUUGUUCAACUAUUAAAUCUCU
rnacentral:rRNA from 1 species